GGGGGUAGAGCUCAGUGGCAGAGCGCAUGCUUAGCAUGCAUGAGGUCCUGGGUUCAAUCCCCAGUCCCUCCA
rnacentral:tRNA from 1 species